CGUGCCUGGCCUCAGGGCCCUUGUUAUUCUGGAGCAGCCUGGCAGCGAGUGCUCAUAGAGGGCCCUUGCCCUGGUCCCUUUGCUUCAAGCUCCUUUGGGGUCAGAGAGAAAGAGGGCUCUAGUUCCUCUCCCUCAGCGCCUCCUACAGAUGGAUGGGAGCAGAGCUCUGGCCCAGAGGAGCUGGGGAGCUGAAGGGAGAAUGUUGAUGGAUUCCCCUCUUCUCCUCCCACCAGACCUCCUCCGAUUUCCCCAAGGCGGGCAACUUUGUGCUGCAGCUGGGUCUGUACAUCUCGGACCCAGCCAACGACAUCAGCCAGCAAGCCAGGAGCGGGAUACAGUGGCUGCAGAGGCUCCUGCUGCAGAGGAGGGGGUUGAACAUCCAAGAGGCGAGCCAUCUGUGGUGCCGGGACAGGCUCCAGGACACCGAGCACCUGGCCUACAGAAAUAUGGCCAGGGUGGGGGAGGUCUUUGGACAGAUCUUUUCAGAAGGCCAGAGAAUAUCCUUCCUCCAGGCAGCGCUUCUGGCAAUACAUGACCCCCAGAUCCAUGUCAGCCAGGCUGGGCUGGUGCUAACAUAUUCCAUCCUGGGGGAAGUCGGCCAGC